GGGGCCGCUGGACAUAGCGCGUGCUAUCAUGCAAGUCGAACGCUUUGUGGUUAACUGAUUUGAAGAGCUUGCUCAGAUAUGACGAUGGACAUUGCAAAGAGUGGCGAACGGGUGAGUAACACGUGGGAAACCUACCUCUUAGCAGGGGAUAACAUUUGGAAACAGAUGCUAAUACCGUAUAACAAUAGCAACCGCAUGGUUGCUACUUAAAAGAUGGUUCUGCUAUCACUAAGAGAUGGUCCCGCGGUGCAUUAGUUAGUUGGUGAGGUAAUGGCUCACCAAGACGAUGAUGCAUAGCCGAGUUGAGAGACUGAUCCGCCACAAUGGGACUGAGACACGGCCCAUACUCCUACGGGAGGCAGCAGUAGGGAAUCUUCCACAAUGGGCGAAAGCCUGAUGGAGCAACGCCGCGUGUGUGAUGAAGGGUUUCGGCUCGUAAAACACUGUUGUAAGAGAAGAAUGACAUUGAGAGUAACUGUUCAAUGUGUGACGGUAUCUUACCAGAAAGGAACGGCUAAAUACGUGCCAGCAGCCGCGGUAAUACGUAUGUUCCAAGCGUUAUCCGGAUUUAUUGGGCGAAAACCAAACCCAAACC
rnacentral:rRNA from 1 species